UUCCCCUGUUGUCUUUCGGAUAAUUUCACUGAAUUACUUUAAUUACCUAAUUGAAGUCACGCGAUUUGCGUUAUUAUAUUUGUUUUUGUUCUAAACUAACAGAACUGAUUGCUUUGAUAUGAAAGGGCACCAUAAGCAUCACUCUGAUACUCCCUUGCCUCUUAGUUCCCAGAGCGAAAAGAAUUAAAAAUAGUAAUAAUAAAAAUAAUUGCAAUGAAAUUGUUUCAAUAAAAUUAUUUAUUUAUACAUUGUUAUUUAAAAAUUGGAAACUUAUUCGCUUGGAUUUUUUUCGAGUUUGAAAUCAUCGACGUGGAUCCCGAUUAUCAUUGAAAAAUCAUGAAUGACCAAAAUCCCAUGGAUUAAGGAUACAGGAAACAGAAUUGAAUAAAAGAUGACAGAAGCAUCAAAUAUAUCAUAUAACCGUUGUGUUAUCAUCAAAGAAAGCACAUUUUCUCAGAAAUAUCUAAAAUUAAUAUAAUAAAUUAACAUAUAGAAGACAUACAUAGGAAUACAAAGACAAAAUGAUGUGAAGAAAAGCUGGCAAGAGCUCUUGUACGACUUUCCCAGCACUGGAAUAGGAGGUUAAGCCUUAUUUUUGGAGUAGGAAUGUGUUUUUAAAACAAUUGAAACCAACUACAACAUCAGACCAAUGAUUGCGAUGUAAACCAAUUCUAGAACAUCCGCACACCAAAGCAAGUCCUGAGAUGAUGAGAAUUAGUGAUGGACGUAAAAGUCGAGAUGAUCGAGUUGACAUAAUGUUAUGGAUAUAAAUCUAAUAAAUAAUUUAAUAAUUUAAAUUUUAACGAACCACCAAAUUAAUCUGAAUAUAUAAUUUGUAUAUUUACCAUAAUAAAAACCGCAGCAUAAGCAGAAAGAGAAGCGUAUGCCGAUG